rnacentral:lncRNA from 1 species
CGAAGGAUGUGGUCAGACCUGUAGUUUAGGGUCAUGUGUACCACCUAAAUGAACCUGGUGCCCUCCCUACUCCUAUCCUUAUCCAUAGUAUGUUUUCUAUGCAUGAUACUUCUGUCAAAGUUUUGAUCGAUACAGAUGCUACUCAUUCUUUUAUCUCCUGUACAUUUGCUUAUAAAUUUGAUAUUAGGCUGGAACUUUUAGAGUAAAUAUUAACUGUAGAGACCCCCCAU